AUGUAUUUGCCAGACUGCAAACAUGAUAAAAGUGACUCCAGCUUGUUGAUUGUUUACUUUUCUCUAAUGUUCUGUUCAUCUUCUUCUUGUUUCACCGCCUCAACCAUCCAGAGGGUGAUUCUUCAAGUGGUGAGUUCACAGUGUGAGUCAAAGACCAAACAACACCAUGAGCGAGGAGGAGCUGACUUUAGUGUAUAUCUAUAUCAAUAUACUCUACAUAGAACGUUCCAUGUAAUGUUCUCCAGCUUGUCCUUUAAUGUUCUGCAAACACUGACACUGUUGUUACAAAGCACACAUCACAUCCUCCACAACCAGCAGCUCCAACACUCAGAGCCACUUGUUCCAGCUUUACAUUCUACUAAUGUUCUGUUUCUGUUCCUGCUUCACCGCCUCCACCAUCUAGCAGAUGAGUCUUCAGAUGGUGAUAGUUCUUCAGAUGAAACCACUGACGCCCCUGAAGCCACUGAGGGGCCUGAAGCCGAUGACACCACUGAAGCCGAUGAUGUCGCUGAAGUCGAUGACGUCGCUGAAGUCGAUGACGCAGAUGGCGCUGAUGCUGAUGACACCCCUGAAGCUGAUGACUCCGAUGGUGCUGAUGACACCCCUGAAGCUGAUGACUCCGAUGGUGCUGAUGAUGCUGCUGAUGCCGAUGACACCGCUGAAGCUGAUGACUCCGCUGAUGACUCUGCUGAUGACGCCGCUGAUGACACAGACAACUCAGACAACUGAGACACAGUUGCCGCACCAACUCCCUAAAGAUGCACGAUUAGCAUGGAUGCCUGGAUGA
rnacentral:lncRNA from 1 species